CAGCAACCCGCUAUUUUGAGAGCAAUAUUUUAAUAUAAACAAUCAUGUUUAUUUGUUUAAUCUGCCUUCUUCAUCUACUUGCCAUGUUUAAUUUGCAAUUGGAUUUGAGUAGCUAUAUUACAUGUUUUCAUGUCCUGGAAUUGCUACUGUUCAUUGCUGUUAUAAUUACAUAUGGCAUUUAUCUGAGUUAUAUGCUUGUUUUAUUCGGAAUUAGUAUAUUUAAUAUAUUUAAAUAUUAUGGAAGUACUCCCUCCGGUACAGGUUUACAGGUCGUUCUGGCCACGAAGCGUUCUGCACCAAAAGAAGUCGUGGCACACGCGCCCAAGCGAUUCUUCCUAUUCUUUCCUUUGAUACCCCUAAUUAAUUGCAGCGCUCUUCGUUUUCUCCUCCAUCGCGCGCCAACAGGCGGUACCGCGCGUACAGGAACUCGCGAAAAACAGACGCGCGCCAACGAAACAAUGAAAAACCCACGGUAAAAAGACCGAAACGAUGAAAAAAUGUGCGCCCAAAACUCACGGAACAAAAAAAAAGACCGCGGCAAAAACAAGCAGCCACGGAGAAUCGAUACUGAGACCUGCUACUUAGCAGAUGCUGGCAAUAGCCAAUCGGCUAAAGAAGUUUUGUUGAUUUCAAUCCACUUGCCACCCUAUAUGAGGGUAAAAAUGGAAAAAUUACUCCAAUUAAUGACUCCUUGGUAGACUAAAUCUGGUCUUAAACGACUUCUAAACCUGUACCGGAGGGAGUAUGUCACUUAUUUGUCUAAAUUUACAACAAAAUACUCCUGCGCUGAAGGCGAUGCCGUGCGGUAAAUGCCCACUGCCGGCCGUGUUCCUCGGCGGGUGAUGCGCAGCGUGAGGGGCUGCGCUGCAAGCGGCAAUUUAACUGUACUUGCUCACUGUCGGUACCUGGUACGGGUACGUGCUGGCGCUGGCGUCGUCUAGCACUAGCAGUAGGCAGGCAGCAGGAGGGCAGAGAGUGAGACUAUCCGCAACCGUUACCCCUAAAUUUUUCCCCCUAUAUCACUUUUUCCCUCUAUUUUUCCUCCUAUUUUUUCAUCUCCCGCAGCGGUUCCCCCUAAAUACUCCCCCUAUACCCCACUACCACUAUAAAAUAUCAUUUUCUAUACCAACUAUCAAUUUUUUAUCUACUAACAAUUACUCGUGGACCCACAGUACAGUGUUGGAGGGAGUAAACAGUGAAACGCUAAAUUGAGGGAGAGGGAGAAGAGGGCCGCCGACUAGAGGGCCAUUUAGGGGAGGGCGCUGCAGCUGGUAGCGGUCACGUGUAGCCGCCAUCCACGCGCAAGGGGAGGGUAGAGUCAUGCGCUGCGGACAGUCUGAGGGGCCGUCUCCCUCCGAACCAGUCCCUGCGUCGGGGCGAAACAUGACCACCAUAUAUCUAUAUAUACUCUUCUUUCCAGGAUCAUUUGCGUUUUCCCAAUGCAAAAAGCUUAUUAUAAAAAAACCGCUAUCGUUCUGGGAAAUACAUGACUAGCCCUGGGCCCGCGGCCGUGCCCGUGCUGCAGGAGAUGAGGCCCGUCGUCAUCGCACCUGCGGCUGCCCCCACGGCCGGCGGCAGCGGGACAUGGCCGGUGUUUAUUGACCCGCGCUCUCAAACAAAGCUCUCGCCAGUUUGGCGUCCAGAUCGCGCGCAGACCAGGGCCGGCCGCUCCCACGCCGUCAGUCGGACGGUCGGAGCGGCUCGGCUCGCGCAGCGUUCGACACGGCUGUGGGAGCGCCGACAGCGGGGCACGCCGGCCACGGCGAAAGUGAAGGCACGGUCCUGUAGUACGUCCAUGCGUUGCUCGCUUUCUGGUUUCGCUGUCCGCCUUCGCCGUGGCCCGUGGGACCAAGUAAGUAACGGUGUUCACGUCGCCGGUUAGGGUCAGAGGCGAUCAGUUCCUCCCGCCGUGAGUAACAUCUCUACAACUAUUAAGACGAUAGUGUAGACCAAAUUUGUGCCUCCGCCUCCCCCGCGCCAUCCCCCGCCUACCCCCGCGCCCGUCCCCCGCGAAUGUCGCCCUGCACCCACCCGCGAUGCAAUCCCCACCCCCCGACGCCCACUCAUCGCGUGCGCCUGCUACAUAGCCAUGAGAGCGAGGGAGGCGUAGGGACCAGGGAGCGGUGGCAGCGUGAGAGAUCGACGGCCACAAGGACAGGGCGGGGGCCAACGUCGUCUUCAAGCCCCGCUCACCUUCCUCCUCCUCCUCUUCAGCGACGACCACCACCUCGCCACCAUUGCCGUUGUAGGAAGCGAAGGUGGAUCCGGCGCCCUCUUCCCCCUGCGAUGCAAAUCUCCCCCGCCCCCAUCCCCUUCUUCGUUGCAUCUCCGCAAUGGCGUCGGGCUCCUCUCGCCCCCAAAUUGACCAGGUAAAACCCUAACUCAUGCUCCAAAUCCGCCCCCGACAUCCUCGCGCACGGCGUAGGCCUACCGCCGCGACCUCGCCGAGUUUGGCACCGGCCUGCGCCGCGAGACCGAGGUGCUCGGCGAGGCCGUCGCCCGGGCCGAGCUGGACCUGCCAUCCUCCGCGCACGCGCUAGACAGACUCGCGCAACUCCGUCCCCGCCGCAGAUCUCGCCAUGCUGUAGCGCACCUCAGGCCGCAGCUCCGUGCCUCCGCUUCGCCUCGGUCUCCCUCCCACGUCUCCCGUUGUGCCCCUGUCCUCAACGCCUUUCCUCCGUCUGCCUGAGAUGCCGCGCGCGAUACCCGCCUGAGAAUUUGUUAAAAAGUCCAAGUGUUGCCACUACUAACUCACCAUCAUAUACCGUCCAUGACCUUGGGAACAGGGCGUGGUAAGUGCACCUGUCCUCCUUCGACCUCCAGUCCCAAGAUCCAAUGCCGGCUUUGCCGACUCCCCUGCGAAUUCAGUUUUCCAUCACACGUCCUGCCUACUGAUCAGGUGCACACAGUGGUCAAGAGUUCCGGUGCUCACUUGAGAAGGUCAGCGGUCGGCGCCGACAGCACCGUGGAGUACUUGUUCCCGUUCGGGCACGAAACAAAUGCCUAGGGUGUGAGAAAAACAAUGGUUGCUGUCAGUUGCCUUCCGGCCUGCUCGCUACUUCUCCCGCCCUCUCAUCGCAUUCUCCACUAUUUGGUUUUCGCAUCGCCUUCCAAAUCCAAAAGACCCAAGCCCUAGCUGUAGCCGCCCCCUAAGGUCAUCGAGAUGUCUCAGCGCGGUGAGACGGGCAGUGGAGACCGGCGGCCGCAUCGGCGUCGUCCGCGCGAUCAAGGGGUACAUCGAUGCCAUUGCCGACAUCCUCCACGACCACAUGGUGAGAUUGCUCCCCUCCCCUUUGCUAGAACUCCCACUAGGCGUCCCCUUCUGCUUGCCCAAAUCCGAACACAGGGCAGGUCUGGGGCACGAAUUGAACAUGGUUCUAUUUCAGCUUGGGAGUGUGCCAGUCGUCGACGACACGCGAUACGCUUCAAUCGACUUCGCCAACCACUGCACGCCGCAGGGGGAGGAGAGAUGAAGUGGGGACUGGCAGCCGUCAUGGCUUCCACGACGACUGUUGCACGUGAUUUCUCGGGGGAUAAAUGCAGGAGAAGUGAGGAAACUGCAGGAUACAAGGAUUUACAGUUGCAAUUGCCUUCUAAAACAGAUUUACAGCCACCAGCUACACUGAUGGCUGUCAUGCCCUCCAGAGAGACAGUAAGGACAAUAUUGCAGAACACGGACAUAAUGCAGCCAAGCAUGUAGCCUCAUUAAUCAGUGUAGAUACGCCUAAAGUCGGCCCUGACAUACAGCAACACACGACCAAGAAAAGAGUGUUCGAUCUGUUAGAGCUCGAUCAUCACCGAUAAAAAGGCUAUGAAGAAACUGUUUGUAAGUCAACUUGAAUGUAAAGACACUCCUGAUGAGCCCAGGCUGCAUACAACAUUGGUUCAAGGCUCUGCUUCUUGCCCUCCAGAAGAUUAAGGUAUCUCAGGAGCAGAAAAAAAUCUGCAUUGCGACAACUGAGCCACUUUUGAUGUUUGCCCUUAGCUGUGGAAUGUAUUCUUCUCCCAAGGUAAGCUGUCAAAGCAUCUUGGGUUUUGACUUCUCAGAUGACAACGAAGGUAACAUAUCUUGAUCCAAAUGCACCGUUGAAAGCAAUAAACAUGUGGCUAUACUCUAAAAUGAGAUUGUUGAUGAUAUUAUUCUGUUAAAUAUUUCAUGACACUCUUUUGCAUGGAAGCCAUCUUCUUAGAGGUGCUAACUAAAUGACAAACACUUUAUGCCAAGGCCACGAGUUGAGGAUCCAGGUUGAUUCUUUAUGGUUUUUAUUAAAUAGCAUGCUUUUUGUGUUGAUGAAUUAUCACAGCCCAAAAAAUGGAAAUGAAUGACCGAUUAGUGUGUAUAAAAUCAAGCAUAAGUUCUCCUUCCAUCAUCAGAUGGUGAAUAUCAAUAGACAGGAAUCCGAUGAACCACCAUCAGUAUAUAUCUUCAUCAACAGCAGCAUGUGUCACCUUGCUUCUAUAGAGAAGUAUGUGGUAUGUCUACAAUAUGCUUCAUUUGUUGGUGAUGUUCUUGUAUGUGUCAUAUGCACAGUCAGUUGAUUCUGUGUUCGUGCUUUUGCUAAUUUUAGGAAAAUUUUGCCACAUUUGUUCCAGUCCUUCUAUUCAAUCUUGAACUAGAUACAUUCCAGUAUGUCUCAUAUAUCCCAAACCAUUGCCUAUUUAUGAGGCAGUGGCUUAUGCAAUUCACGAUACAAUUCUACCGGGGGCUUAUGGGGUUUCCCCAAAAGGUUUGCACUACCGGUUUCUUUCUUAGUUCAUCCCAGUAUUUUAUAUCAGACGACAUGACUAUUACAAGGUAUUCAUUUGUCUUAUUUUUAUCCCAUCUAGACACAUGUUUGUGUUUAUUACUUAUACCAUCUGUGACUACUUUCCCUUCUCAACCGUGUAGACAAUCACAGUUGAUCCAUACAUAGUGAAUUACAGUGGAGUUGUAUUCUGCCAAUAGUAAUGUAAAUAUUGGAGAGGUUUAUUUGGAUUUCUUCACUUGAAAAGAUUAUAGUGUUGGGCAUGGAAUAGAAGAUCAAACUAAAUAACUAUGAGAAGUCAUUUGGUUGGUAAUGUCAUCCCUAUUUAUCAGCACCGACAACUACUAUUCUACUGAAUUACUGUUUGUAAAGGCCCUGUCAUGCUGAAGCAAGCUGAUGGUUCAUAUGCAUGUUUCGUAGAUAGUGAAGCUCGGUUCACUUUGGGACAGGUCAUACCAUAAGCUACUUGAAUACAUUUGCUCUACUUUUUUCUGCUCGCUUGUGUGUUUGUGGGGAAAAGAUACUAACUUCGUUGAACUUGUUGGGUUUGCAAUGCAAUUUAUCUUCAUUUAUACAAAAGAACUAUUGAGAGUUAUUGGUUUACAAGAAGAGGGAAGCUCACUUGAAUUUCUAAGAAGAGGAUACAAGAAUGCUACAUGGUGGGAAUAGGACGUUGAUCAGUGAUCAGGAGAAGUCGCAUGCCUGGCGAACUUGAGGUGCUGCACCUGCUGGCUGGAUGCUUUUCUGAUUUGGAAUUGGGAAUGAUUUUUUUCCUAACGAGUGUCCAUGUCUUGUUGUAUGUAAUAGAUAAAUAUGAAAUUACACACAGAGAAGUCCAUGUAUGCGUAAAAGACAUGAAAAGUUGAAAAUUCAAUCAAGCAUACUGUUUGAUCCGUGAA